rnacentral:tRNA from 1 species
GGCUUUAUAUUCAAUUUAUGAUUUUAGAUUGCAAAUCUAAAGGUAUGGAAUGAUAAAAUAUUUUCAUUAAAGCUU